rnacentral:rRNA from 1 species
AGAGUUUGAUCCUGGCUCAGGAUGAACGCUAGCGACAGGCUUAACACAUGCAAGUCGAGGGGCAGCACAGGUAGCAAUACCGGGUGGCGACCGGCGCACGGGUGAGUAACGCGUAUGCAACUUGCCUAUCAGAGGGGGAUAACCCGGCGAAAGUCGGACUAAUACCGCAUGAAGCAGGGAUCCCGCAUGGGAAUAUUUGCUAAAGAUUCAUCGCUGAUAGAUAGGCAUGCGUUCCAUUAGGCAGUUGGCGGGGUAACGGCCCACCAAACCGACGAUGGAUAGGGGUUCUGAGAGGAAGGUCCCCCACAUUGGUACUGAGACACGGACCAAACUCCUACGGGAGGCAGCAGUGAGGAAUAUUGGUCAAUGGCCGAGAGGCUGAACCAGCCAAGUCGCGUGAGGGAUGAAGGUUCUAUGGAUCGUAAACCUCUUUUAUAAGGGAAUAAAGUGCGGGACGUGUCCCGUUUUGUAUGUACCUUAUGAAUAAGGAUCGGCUAACUCCGUGCCAGCAGCCGCGGUAAUACGGAGGAUCCGAGCGUUAUCCGGAUUUAUUGGGUUUAAAGGGUGCGUAGGCGGCCUUUUAAGUCAGCGGUGAAAGUCUGUGGCUCAACCAUAGAAUUGCCGUUGAAACUGGGGGGCUUGAGUAUGUUUGAGGCAGGCGGAAUGCGUGGUGUAGCGGUGAAAUGCAUAGAUAUCACGCAGAACCCCGAUUGCGAAGGCAGCCUGCCAAGCCAUUACUGACGCUGAUGCACGAAAGCGUGGGGAUCAAACAGGAUUAGAUACCCUGGUAGUCCACGCAGUAAACGAUGAUCACUAGCUGUUUGCGAUACACUGUAAGCGGCACAGCGAAAGCGUUAAGUGAUCCACCUGGGGAGUACGCCGGCAACGGUGUAACUCAAAGGAAUUGACGGGGGCCCGCACAAGCGGAGGAACAUGUGGUUUAAUUCGAUGAUACGCGAGGAACCUUACCCGGGUUUGAACGCAUUCGGACCGAGGUGGAAACACCUUUUCUAGCAAUAGCCGUUUGCGAGGUGCUGCAUGGUUGUCGUCAGCUCGUGCCGUGAGGUGUCGGCUUAAGUGCCAUAACGAGCGCAACCCUUGCCACUAGUUACUAACAGGUAAAGCUGAGGACUCUGGUGGGACUGCCAGCGUAAGCUGCGAGGAAGGCGGGGAUGACGUCAAAUCAGCACGGCCCUUACAUCCGGGGCGACACACGUGUUACAAUGGCGUGGACAAAGGGAAGCCACCUGGCGACAGGGAGCGAAUCCCCAAACCACGUCUCAGUUCGGAUCGGAGUCUGCAACCCGACUCCGUGAAGCUGGAUUCGCUAGUAAUCGCGCAUCAGCCAUGGCGCGGUGAAUACGUUCCCGGGCCUUGUACACACCGCCCGUCAAGCCAUGGGAGCCGGGGGUACCUGAAGUCCGUAACCGCGAGGAUCGGCCUAGGGCAAAACUGGUGACUGGGGCUAAGUCGUAACAAGGUA